UUCAACUCAACCUCAUAGAAGGAAACAUCGACUGUUUCUUGGAUAGGAUGUGCGACGCUGGUGAACCCUAUCGGGGGAAGCAUGCUGCCAUUGGAGAAAUCUCUAAAGAUAAUAACAGAAAUCAUCCUUUCUCGCGAGCACGACGCUGAUGUCCCUAUUUAUGUUUGACGGCGGGCAAACGACUACGGUCGACACAGGUGAUGAAUGACGGUCAGGGGAUGAGUGAACCACGACAUCCUGUACAUAGAAGAAAAUGGUUCCUACAUCCAUUUUGAGUACAUCAUAAGGUCAUAUAAUUUUGCUUGUAUUUGAUGGCGAGCUUCGGUGCAAAAGUAAGAUUUGCUUAGUUUGUCUCCGUAAGAUAUGUUGUGCCAUGAUGUUGGUCGAGAUCAAGCUGCAGACGAGCCUCUUUUACGGACUGUGUUGCAUAGCUAUAUAGUCAUAUGCAACUUAAUUCUUUUGCCUUGACUGCUCUUGUUUGUCUCAUAACAAGUCAUGAUGAGAUUGUUUAGCCCUCGUAAAACAAAUUACUAUUUCUUCCAAUGUGUUUUUUAAGAAAGAGGAUUAUGGAGCUUGUGCAUUGUUUUCA